rnacentral:rRNA from 1 species
GACGUAGGGCGCGAGCGUUGUCCGGAUUUAUUGGGCGUAAAGAGCUCGUAGGCGGUUUGUCACGUCAGGAGUGAAAACUCGGGGCUCAACCCCGAGCCUGCUUCUGAUACGGGCAGACUGGAGGUAUGCAGGGGAGAACGGAAUUCCUGGUGUAGCGGUGAAAUGCGCAGAUAUCAGGAGGAACACCAAUGGCGAAGGCAGGUCUCUGGGCCAUUACUGACACUGAGAAGCGAAAGCAUGAGGAGCGAACAGG